AUGAACGCUGGCGGCGUGCCUAAUGCAUGCAAGUCGAGCGAACAGACGAGGAGCUUGCUCCUCUGACGUUAGCGGCGGACGGGUGAGUAACACGUGGAUAACCUACCUAUAAGACUGGGAUAACUUCGGGAAACCGGAGCUAAUACCGGAUAAUAUAUUGAACCGCAUGGUUCAAUAGUGAAAGACGGUUUUGCUGUCACUUAUAGAUGGAUCCGCGCCGCAUUAGCUAGUUGGUAAGGUAACGGCUUACCAAGGCAACGAUGCGUAGCCGACCUGAGAGGGUGAUCGGCCACACUGGAACUGAGACACGGUCCAGACUCCUACGGGAGGCAGCAGUAGGGAAUCUUCCGCAAUGGGCGAAAGCCUGACGGAGCAACGCCGCGUGAGUGAUGAAGGUCUUCGGAUCGUAAAACUCUGUUAUUAGGGAAGAACAAAUGUGUAAGUAACUAUGCACGUCUUGACGGUACCUAAUCAGAAAGCCACGGCUAACUACGUG
rnacentral:rRNA from 1 species